rnacentral:tRNA from 1 species
AAGGCUUUAAGUUAAAAAAACUAAUAUCCUUCAAAGCUAUAAAUAAAGAAAAUUACCUUUAAGUCUUA